rnacentral:rRNA from 1 species
GACGGAGGGGGCUAGCGUUGUUCGGAAUGACUGGGCGUAAAGGGCGCGUAGGCGGCCAAGCAGGUCCGCUGUGAAAACUCGAGGCUCAACCUCGAGACGUCGGUGGAAACCGUUUGGCUAGAGUCCGGAAGAGGAGAGUGGAAUUCCCGGUGUAGCGGUGAAAUGCGCAGAUAUCGGGAAGAACACCCGUGGCGAAGGCGGCUCUCUGGGACGGUACUGACGCUGAGACGCGAAAGCUAGGGGGAGCAAACAGG